ACUCCUGCGGGAGGCAGCAGUGGGGAAUAUUGGACAAUGGGCGCAAGCCUGAUCCAGCCAUGCCGCGUGAGUGAUGAAGGCCCUAGGGUUGUAAAGCUCUUUCACCGGUGAAGAUAAUGACGGUAACCGGAGAAGAAGCCCCGGCUAACUUCGUGCCAGCAGCCGCGGUAAUACGAAGGGGGCUAGCGUUGUUCGGAUUUACUGGGCGUAAAGCGCACGUAGGCGGACUAUUAAGUCAGGGGUGAAAUCCCGGGGCUCAACCCCGGAACUGCCUUUGAUACUGGUAGUCUUGAGUUCGAGAGAGGUGAGUGGAAUUCCGAGUGUAGAGGUGAAAUUCGUAGAUAUUCGGAGGAACACCAGUGGCGAAGGCGGCUCACUGGCUCGAUACUGACGCUGAGGUGCGAAAGCGUGGGGAGCAAACAGGAUUAGAUACCCUAGUAGUCC
rnacentral:rRNA from 1 species